CACACCAGUACUUAUCUUCAUCCUUUUCCAUGAGUGAAGUCAUAGUUACGGUGUUGCCGUUACUUCUUCUGGCGCCAACAGGUCAACUGAGUCCACUUUAUUCUUCAUUAGCAACAAAAGACAGAGAACAGGAACUGCAAAAGACAAAAACAAGCUGACGUUCUCAUGGUGUAGCCGCAGGGAACAAUGUGAAGUACGACAGCAAAUUGGGCAACUGGAGGCUUCCUCUUGUCCCUCAUGAU